GAAGUCGGUUAAAAAAGAACGUAUUAUUAUAGUCUACAAUCUGAAAUUUUAGUAUCACCAUGGUUUUAUAAUAUGGAUUUCAAUACAAAAGGCUGUAGCAUAAUAUCGAGACUAAGGCUUGGUCACACUCGUUCUCCACACCAUCUGGCUAGAUUUAAAAUUACUUCCAGUCCGUCCUGUUUUUGUGGUUAUGUAAUGGGGGAUAUUAAUCAUCUUUUAUUCUCCUGUUCACUUUUCAACCACUCCCGCUUCCUGGCGUCACUGAUUACGUAUCUUUUUUAUCUUCCUUUUUAUCAUAAAAUAUAUUAUUUUGUUUCUUCCUAUCCUGUUCUGAAUCCUGUCAUAAAUUCCUCUUGUCCCUUAUCCACAAUUUUUGAAGAUUUUUCUUAAUUCCUGCUCGUCAUUGGCAAUGUGCAGUCCUUAAAAAAAACGUCAAAAUCACGUCAAAAUUGACAGCUGACUUCUGCCAAAAAAUUGUUCACUUCGAUUCAGCACAAAUCCUCCACUCUGUUGACGACAGUUUAAUAUCCGUGCUGAUACCAAUAUACAACUUAAAACAGAAAUUUCAAUUGUAAUAGACUCCAUGGUGUGGAGUGGAUACGCGGUGCCAGGGCCGCGGUACGCUUUCAAGUGGAUGUGUCCAGUGGGUAGUCUGCGUGUUAUGGUCCAUGUAGUAGCGCCGUCCUCGCAGUGUACGGUCAGCUGACCAGCCGGGAGGCAGUGGCAACUCACACUCAUCGGAACCUGCCAGUUUUAUUUUUGAAGAUAUUUUUUUACUACUCUUAGAGGUAAAGUUUGUAAGCUUAUAGAUUUUAAAUAAUACAUAUUUUUUAAAGUUAAA